rnacentral:rRNA from 1 species
AGAGUUUGAUCAUGGCUCAGAGCGAACGCUGGCGGCAUGCCUAACACAUGCAAGUCGCACGGGCCUUUCGGGGCCAGUGGCGGACGGGUGAGUAACGCGUAGGGAUCUAUCCGUGGGUGGGGGACAACCGUUGGAAACGACGGCUAAUACCGCAUGACACCUGAGGGUCAAAGCAGCGAUGCGCCGACGGAGGAGCCUGCGUACGAUUAGCUAGUUGGUGGGGUAAUGGCCUACCAAGGCGACGAUCGUUAGCUGGUCUGAGAGGAUGAUCAGCCACACUGGGACUGAGACACGGCCCAGACUCCUACGGGAGGCAGCAGUGGGGAAUAUUGGACAAUGGGCGCAAGCCUGAUCCAGCAAUGCCGCGUGGGUGAAGAAGGUCUUCGGAUUGUAAAGCCCUUUCGGCGGGGACGAUGAUGACGGUACCCGCAGAAGAAGCCCCGGCUAACUUCGUGCCAGCAGCCGCGGUAAUACGAAGGGGGCGAGCGUUGCUCGGAAUGACUGGGCGUAAAGGGCGCGUAGGCGGCUGUGACAGUCAGGUGUGAAAUUCCCGGGCUCAACCUGGGGGCGGCACUUGAGACGUCGUGGCUAGAGUGCGGAAGAGGGUCGUGGAAUUCCCAGUGUAGAGGUGAAAUUCGUAGAUAUUGGGAAGAACACCGGUGGCGUAGGCGGCGACCUGGUCCGUGACUGACGCUGAGGCGCGAAAGCGUGGGGAGCAAACAGGAUUAGAUACCCCGGUAGUCC